GGCAAGUUCUGAGCACUGACAAAUUUUCACGAGAAGAGACAUCUCAAGCACUGGACUAAACUCUCAUGUUCCAAGUAUAAUUUUAAGCCAUUGACUUAAACCCAAACAUCUGCAAAUUGAAAUGAAACCUCUGUUUAAUCUCCUGGAUCUUCAUGCUUUAUAGAGCUGUCAAAGCCUCUGGGAAGCAGAUACAGCCUGCAGCAAUCUGCUGUAAGGACACCAGGAGGGUUUGUGGGGUCACUGAAGAACUACUCCUUCCAGGCCUGUAGAGCAGUAAGCCUUCAACAACAUUGAAAUCAAUACAUUAAAACAAGAAACACAAGCUGCAAAGAGGAAAGGGACAGUGACUGCAACAGACCUUCAGCCUCUCCCAACUCAGCUUGGAAACAACUCUCUGGAAAUACAGCAUCGGGACAGGUGACCAGGAGAAUCACCAGGUGAAUUUUACAGCCUCACAGACUCACAAAAUGCUAUCCUCUGCUAUGACCUUCCCCGUCUUUGACCACAAAACUUAUACCUAA